AAUCAGAAAACCCGAUCAAAAAUAAAGAAAGCAGCCCAGAUUUUCACCUCAAAACCCAUUGCUCGCAAUUUUUUUCUUCUUCAGCUACAUCUCUGCAACUUUCGGUUUUUCUUCGUGGUGGUUCACCCCCUUGUCGUUUCUGUGAAUUUUUGAUGUCUUUGUGAAGUGGUUGAAUAGUAUUUUGAUAGUGAAAAUUGAAACGGCGGCGUUUUGAUGGUGGGCUAGUGGUGGUGGUCGGCGGCGGCUUGAUGGUGGGCUAUUGGUGGUGGUCGGCGGCGUUUUGAUGGUGGUCGGCGGCGGCUUGAUGGUGGGCUAUUGGUGGUGGUCGGUGGUGUUUUGAUGGUGGGCUAUUGGUGGUGGUCGGCGGCGGUUUGAUGGUGGGCUAUUGGUGGUGGUCGGUGGCGGGUGGAUGUUUCAAUAUCCACAACCCUCAUCUUCUACAUCCACAUUUCUUCGGCCCUGUUUUUUUUUUUGCUAUUAGAUUUGGGUGGAUAAAUCCUUCAGCCCUCAACAAGUCCUUGUUUUAAUUUUCUUCUGUAAUUUUUAAUUUAUGUUUUAUAAUUUAUAUACAGGCAUAUUUUUU
rnacentral:lncRNA from 1 species